UAUCGCAUGCACGAAGUCUGACGGAGCAUGCCGCGUGAGUGACGAAGGUUUUCGGAUCGUAAAACUCUGUUGUGAGGGAAGAACAAGUACCAACUAACUACUGGUACCUUGACGGUACCUCACCAGAAAGCCACGGCUAACUACGUGCCAGCAGCCGCGGUAAUACGUAGGUGGCAAGCGUUGUCCGGAAUUAUUGGGCGUAAAGCGCGCGCAGGCGGUCCCUUAAGUCUGAUGUGAAAGCCCACGGCUCAACCGUGGAGGGUCAUUGGAAACUGGGGGACUUGAGUGCAGAAAAGGAAAGUGGAAUUCCACGUGUAGCGGUGAAAUGCGUAGAGAUGUGGAGGAACACCAGUGGCGAAGGCGACUUUCUGGUCUGUAACUGACGCUGAGGCGCGAAAGCGUGGGGAGCAAACAGGAUUAGAUACCCUGGUAGUCCACGCCGUAAACGAUGAGUGCUAAGUGUUAGGGGGUUUCCGCCCCUUAGUGCUGCAGCUAACGCAUUAAGCACUCCGCCUGGGGAGUACGGCCGCAAGGCUGAAACUCAAUGAAAUUUGACGGA
rnacentral:rRNA from 1 species